rnacentral:misc_RNA from 1 species
GUAGAUCAGGCCCGUCUGAUCCAAUUUCGCCGGCGUACCCGGCGAUGAAA